AGAGCGAACGCUGGCGGCAGGCUUAACACAUGCAAGUCGAGCGGGCGUAGCAAUACGUCAGCGGCAGACGGGUGAGUAACGCGUGGGAACGUACCUUUUGGUUCGGAACAACCCAGGGAAACUUGGGCUAAUACCGGAUAAGCCCUUACGGGGAAAGAUUUAUCGCCGAAAGAUCGGCCCGCGUCUGAUUAGCUAGUUGGUGAGGUAAUGGCUCACCAAGGCGACGAUCAGUAGCUGGUCUGAGAGGAUGAUCAGCUACAUUGGGACUGAGACACGGCCCAAACUCCUACGGGAGGCAGCAGUGGGGAAUAUUGGACAAUGGGCGCAAGCCUGAUCCAGCCAUGCCGCGUGAGUGAUGAAGGCCCUAGGGUUGUAAAGCUCUUUUGUGCGGGAAGAUAAUGACGGUACCGCAAGAAUAACGCCCCGGACUAACUUCGCGCCAGCAGCCGC
rnacentral:rRNA from 1 species